GGAUCCGAAGCGGCUUGGCUAGAACAACCACGAUCAAAGUGAUUGGUCUCUAUCUUCAUUGCUCAGGACGAAACUCUGCCUCACUUCGAUCGCCUCGGAUUGAAGGAUUCGGCCGCGUAGCCCUCAUUUUGGAAUAAAAGGAAGAAGAACUCUACUAUUCCACGCUCUUCCGAAAAUGGUCUUGACACCACAACGAAGUUUUUGAGUAUACUAAGGAUUACCCAUAUCGAGAAUGGGCCCGCCCUGGUACCGUUCUCUACUUCCGCUCUAAUAGAUUGAUUCUUUUUUUCACUUAGAUUUUUUUUAUCGCAGCAAAUAAGACUUGAAGCGGAUUCUCUACCUAGAAUUUUUCUAAUACUUCAGUAGACUCAUUUCAUGCUACGAAACUCUGCCUCACUUCAAUCGCCUUGAAUUGAAGGAUUCGGCCACGUAGCCCUCAUUUUGGAAUAAAAGGAAGAAGAACUCUACUAUUCCACGCUCUUCCAAAAAUGGUCUUGACACCACAACGAAGUUUUUCAGUAUACUAAGGAUUACCCAUAUCGAGAAUGGGCCCGCCCUGGUACCGUUCUCUACUUCCGCUCUAAUAGAAACUUAGAUUUUUUUAUCGCAACAAAUAUGACUUGAAGUGGAUUCUCUACCUAGAAUUUUUCUAAUACUUCAGUAGACUCAUUUCAUGCCCUUAUCGAAUUCNNN
rnacentral:lncRNA from 1 species